rnacentral:rRNA from 1 species
AUUGAACGCUGGCGGCAUGCCUUACACAUGCAAGUCGAACGGCAGCACGGGAGCAAUCCUGGUGGCGAGUGGCGAACGGGUGAGUAAUAUAUCGGAACGUGCCCAGUCGUGGGGGAUAACGUAGCGAAAGCUACGCUAAUACCGCAUACGAUCUAUGGAUGAAAGCGGGGGAUCGCAAGACCUCGCGCGAUUGGAGCGGCCGAUAUCAGAUUAGGUAGUUGGUGAGGUAAAGGCUCACCAAGCCGACGAUCUGUAGCUGGUCUGAGAGGACGACCAGCCACACUGGGACUGAGACACGGCCCAGAUUCCUACGGGAGGCAGCAGUGGGGAAUUUUGGACAAUGGGCGCAAGCCUGAUCCAGCAAUGCCGCGUGCAGGAUGAAGGCCUU